UUGCUUUAGCAGCACAUGUACUAAAACCAGAACGAUACAGAGAAGAUUAGCAUGGCCCCUGUGCGUGGAUGACAUGCAAAUUCAUGAAGCGUUCCAUUAAAAA
rnacentral:snRNA from 1 species